rnacentral:tRNA from 1 species
UCCCUGGGGGUCCAUGGUUAAGACUCUGCACUUCCAAUGCAGAGGGCAUGGGGUUACAUCCCUAAUCAGGGAA